AGCGAGCGCUGGCGGCAGGCUUAACACAUGCAAGUCGAGCGGGCCCUUCGGGGUCAGCGGCGGACGGGUGAGUAACGCGUGGGAACGUGCCUUCUGGUUCGGAAUAACUCAGGGAAACUUGAGCUAAUACCGGAUACGCCCUUUUAGGGAAAGGUUUACUGCCGGAAGAUCGGCCCGCGUCUGAUUAGCUAGUUGGUGGGGUAACGGCCUACCAAGGCGACGAUCAGUAGCUGGUCUGAGAGGAUGAUCAGCCACACUGGGACUGAGACACGGCCCAGACUCCUACGGGAGGCAGCAGUGGGGAAUAUUGGACAAUGGGCGCAAGCCUGAUCCAGCCAUGCCGCGUGAGUGAUGAAGGCCUUAGGGUUGUAAAGCUCUUUUAUCCGGGACGAUAAUGACGGUACCGGAGGAAUAAGCCCCGGCUAACUUCGUG
rnacentral:rRNA from 1 species